rnacentral:lncRNA from 1 species
UGGUGGAGGUCUUGGGGACCCGGAUGACCCAGCUUCCUCGGAUAGCUUGACCCAAGCCUUGCAGCUUGCUGCAGCCAACGAGCCCACCUUCUUCCUUUAUGCUGAGCAGUUGGCCCGAAAGGAGGUGGAGAUCACAUCUCUGAGGAAGCAGAAACACAGGCUGGAGGUAGAGGCCCAUCAGCUGCAGGAGAGGCUGCUGGAGGAGGGCGAGCGGCAUCGAGAGGAGGUUGGAGCCCUUCAGAGCCACAUCGAAAAGAACAUCAGGGACCAGAGCAGGGAGGGAGCCAACCUGGAGUAUCUCAAAAACAUCAUCUACCGCUUCCUGACCUUGCCAGACAGCCUGGGCCGCCAGCAGACCCUCACGGCCAUCCUCACCAUCUUGCACUUCAGUCCUGAGGAGAAACAAGUACUAAUGAGGCUCCCAAGUGGUGGGAGCUGGUGGCCUUCUGGCAAGAGAUGAUAAUUUUUUACCAACUCCCGAAAUCUCCGUGCCUCUUUUAUGUGGGAAGGGCAGGCUCGGAUUUCUACGGCCUCUUCUCUUGCAUUCUUAUUUAUUUCUUCACUGUGUUGAACUCAGAGCCGUUCAAAGUAGAAUGGGAUUAUCUGCCAAGUGCCAUUAAUGCAACUUUAUCCUUGGGCUUUUGGGAAACUGCCAAUGUCGAGACAGCAUUUUGUAGCAGUCUGUGUAUGGAGCAGGUUAGGGAGAAAGGCUGGGUGGGG